CCUACGGGAGGCUGCAGUGGGGGAUAUUGCACAAUGGGGGGAACCCUGAUGCAGCGACGCCGCGUGGGUGAAGAAGCGCCUCGGCGCGUAAAGCCCUGUCAGCAGGGAAGAAAAUGACGCUACCUGAAGAAGAAGCCCCGGCUAACUAAGUUCCAACAGCCGCGGGAAUAGGUAGGGGGCACGCGGUAUCCCGAGUUAAUGGGGGUAAAGGGGGGGUAGACGGGGAUGCAAGCCAGGAGGGAAAGCCCGGGGCCCAACCCCGGGACUGCUCUUGGAACUGCGUGGCUGGAGUGCAGGAGGGGCAGGCGGAAUUCCUGGUGUAGCGGUGAAAUGCGUAGAUAUCAGGAGGAACACCGGUGGCGAAGGCGGCCUGCUGGACUGCAACUGACGUUGAGGCCCGAAAGCGUGGGGAGCAAACAGGAUUAGAUACCCGUGUAGUC
rnacentral:rRNA from 1 species